rfam:Termitomyces sp. J132 unplaced genomic scaffold scaffold129, whole genome shotgun sequence.
GCCCGCCUAGCUCAAUCGGCCAGAGCGUCAGACUUUUACGGUCACAUAGGGCUUAAAACAUCUGAAGGCUGCGAGUUCGACCCUCGCGGUGGGCU